rnacentral:rRNA from 1 species
GUGGGGAAUUUUGGACAAUGGGCGCAAGCCUGAUCCAGCAAUGCCGCGUGUGUGAAGAAGGCCUUCGGGUUGUAAAGCACUUUUGGCAGGAAAGAAAUAGCGCGUGCUAAUACCAUGCGCGAAUGACGGUACCUGCAGAAUAAGCACCGGCUAACUACGUGCCAGCAGCCGCGGUAAGACGUAGGGUGCAAGCGUUAAUCGGAAUUACUGGGCGUAAAGCGUGCGCAGGCGGUUUUGUAAGACAGGUGUGAAAUCCCCGGGCUCAACCUGGGAACUGCACUUGUGAAUGCAAGGCUAGAGUGUGUCAGAGGGAGGUGGAAUUCCGCGUGUAGCAGUGAAAUGCGUAGAGAUGCGGAGGAACACCGAUGGCGAAGGCAGCCUCCUGGGAUAACACUGACGCUCAGGCACGAAAGCGUGGGGAGCAAACAGGAUUAGAUACCCUAGUAGUCC